rnacentral:rRNA from 1 species
UACGUAGGGGGCUAGCGUUGUCCGGAAUCAUUGGGCGUAAAGAGCGUGUAGGCGGUCCGGGUAAGUCCGCUGUGAAAGUCGGGGGCUCAACCCUCGAAUGCCGGUGGAUACUGGUCGGGCUCGAGUACGGAAGAGGCGAGUGGAAUUCCUGGUGUAGCGGUGAAAUGCGCAGAUAAUCAGGAGGAACACCGAUUGCGAAGGCAGCUCGCUGGGACGUUACUGACGCUGAGACGCGAAAGCGUGGGGAGCAAACAGG